rnacentral:rRNA from 1 species
AGUGAACGCUGGCGGUAGGCUUAACACAUGCAAGUCGAACGGAAAGGCCCUGCUUUUGUGGGGUGCUCGAGUGGCGAACGGGUGAGUAACACGUGAGUAACCUGCCCUUGACUUUGGGAUAACUUCAGGAAACUGGGGCUAAUACCGGAUAGGAGCUCCUGCUGCAUGGUGGGGGUUGGAAAGUUUCGGCGGUUGGGGAUGGACUCGCGGCUUAUCAGCUUGUUGGUGGGGUAGUGGCUUACCAAGGCUUUGACGGGUAGCCGGCCUGAGAGGGUGACCGGCCACAUUGGGACUGAGAUACGGCCCAGACUCCUACGGGAGGCAGCAGUGGGGAAUAUUGCACAAUGGGCGGAAGCCUGAUGCAGCAACGCCGCGUGCGGGAUGACGGCCUUCGGGUUGUAAACCGCUUUCGCCUGUGACGAAGCGUGAGUGACGGUAAUGGGUAAAGAAGCACCGGCUAACUACGUG